GGGGGGGGGAUGUUGGGGUGUGUAUGUCAUUCUGUAAUACAGGUCCUGUGGUAAAAUAGCUAGAAAACAAGAAAUUUUUAGUAAUAAUGGGCCAAAACAAGUUUAAGAUAUGCAGUAAGAUGCAUGAAUUGUUGUACUGAGAGAGUCUUGCAGUACAUUUAAAGAAAAACAAUCCCUUCUGCUGUGCUACUCCAGUAACAAGCAAACUUUUUGGCCUGUGACACUUAAUUGUAGUUCAUGUUCAUGGGAAACUGUAAAAAGUCUUUUUAUUUAUCUCCGUCGUCUGUAUCACAUGCUGUUAAUUAAAAAUAUACUACUUGGGGUUUUUAUCACACUGUUGAGUGUUACUGUACAUAGUAAAAACUAAAUUAAAAUAAUAUGGUUGGUACACCUGUUCUGAAAUGAGAAUUUACGGCAGCUCGAGUUGCGGAGGUGUGGUUUGGUACUUUGGGCCUUCUUGGAAAGGCUUGAAGAAAGGAGAUAGAAAAUGCUCACAUCUGUUAAUUGAGGUGGGGAAAAUACUGAAAUUAGCCUUCUUUAUGGGUAUAGCUACAUGAAAGGUCAUAAUUGCACGUUGUUUUCACUCUUGCACACACUGAUACUCAGCAUAAGCAACCUAGUAGAUUUCCUCUCAAAGCUGUGAGAGGAGAGCAGGCAGCAUGAAGUGCCUCAGCGGAAUGGCGGCAAAGCCUCUCCUCAGUCAGUCUGCUUUGGUUUUGAAAACUGUGAGGAUAUUUCAUCACCGAAACUAUGCUUAAAAAUAAAAAUUAGGUUGUCUUCUUGUAUCUAGUGCUGACUUUAAAAAAUUGAGAAACAUAUUUUGGAAGUUAUUCAUUCGCAAGUAUGAGAAUGUGGGCCUGUAAUAGAACUGCAAAAGUUCUGUGGUAAAUGCUUUAUUUUAGCCUUCAACAUCUAACAAAUGGUUACUGUGGGAGGGAUUUGAGUUCUCUUGCUGAGGAUUUGACUUUUGGGGAGGCACGAGGGAUGCAUCAAGACGUAAUCAGGUCACCACUAUGCAUCUUUGGUUCACUCAAUUAUUUCAAAGCACAGGUUAAGCUCUGAUAUGGAGAGGCCUUUGUCAGUAAAAGUGAAAGGCAACCUGAGAGAGCAUUUAUCUCCCAGAUUUCACCCGAUCCAUUCUCAGCAAAACCUGAUGUUGAAAGAGGAGGAUCUUCAUCAGGACUUAUAUCUGUUCUGUAUGCCUCACAUAUCCAAUAACUGACUGAGAUGACAGAGUAUAAAGAAGCACUGUCUUUGAUCGGUUUUGUUGUUGUCCUCUGGGUGCAGACCUUAAGGGAUGCCCUGAAACCUAUACGCUCCACAGCUCCCUUGCUUUCUCUGUGAAACGUGGGUCAGGUCGGGGCCUUUCAGAAAGGAAAGGAGGAGUCCUCGUACAAAGAGCUAAGAUGCCUGGAUUUGUCACCCCUUGGCUGUAUGACAAGAUAUUCUAGCUCUGCAGCUUGCCAGGUCAAAGCUGAAGUGCCUCCCAUCCCAACAGCUGCCUGCUUCUGGCUGCCAAAGUAUUUGCAUAGGAAACCUUGCCACGAACAGAAAUAUGCGGGCAUCCACCCAGCUGGAUGGCUGUAGCUAAUUUAUGGGGACUUCAUCCAAACCAGUCUUGGAGGAAACCCAGGUUCCUAUAGCUGGGGUAAGCAGUACAGAACAAACCCGAGAGAUGCUAAAAUCUUGUUCGAUUGCUAAAUCACAUCAACAGUAAUGAACUGCGUUAUUUUCUGAGCCCUCAGAAACGUGCCUUCAAAAGGACCACUGUGCUUGCAGUCGUGCUGCUGGCCUUCACAGUGUGCGACCGUACGGUUAAAGUAUGGUGAAAGCCCUUCCUGCAUGGCUGUAACUAAAUCAGCUGCCCCUCAAGCCCUGUUUGCUGACUUCCCAGACAAAGGCUGAAGGUACGAUUUUAUAAAUUAAAUCUAGCACAACACCACCAGCCUCGAGUGUGGCCCUCAGCACAGCUUCCAAUGCUUAGAGGCCCCGCCGUUCCCCAGGCAGUUCCUUGUGUAAUAACGGGGCUGAGGAAAGGCCUCGCGGGAGUCCCCUCGCCCACCCCCCGCCACCUCCCCCGCACGGUCGCUGUAGCGGAGCCGGGAG
ensembl:lncRNA